rnacentral:rRNA from 1 species
UAACUGAAGAGUUUGAUCAUGGCUCAGAUUGAACGCUGGCGGCAGGCUUAACACAUGCAAGUCGAGCGGGGGAAGGUAGCUUGCUACCGGACCUAGCGGCGGACGGGUGAGUAAUGCUUAGGAAUCUGCCUAUUAGUGGGGGACAACAUCUCGAAAGGGAUGCUAAUACCGCAUACGUCCUACGGGAGAAAGCAGGGGAUCUUCGGACCUUGCGCUAAUAGAUGAGCCUAAGUCGGAUUAGCUAGUUGGUGGGGUAAAGGCCUACCAAGGCGACGAUCUGUAGCGGGUCUGAGAGGAUGAUCCGCCACACUGGGACUGAGACACGGCCCAGACUCCUACGGGAGGCAGCAGUGGGGAAUAUUGGACAAUGGGGGGAACCCUGAUCCAGCCAUGCCGCGUGUGUGAAGAAGGCCUUAUGGUUGUAAAGCACUUUAAGCGAGGAGGAGGCUACUCUAGUUAAUACCUAG